GAUAGUGGCGGACGGGUGAGUAACGCGUGGGUAACCUGCCCAUAAAGCCGGGACAACCCUUGGAAACGAGGGCUAAUACCGGAUAAUCUUAAUUCUUGGCAUCAAGGGAUAAGGAAAGGUGGCCGAUGAGAAUGCUGCCGAUUAUGGAUGGACCCGCGUCUGAUUAGCUGGUUGGUGGGGUAAAGGCCUACCAAGGCGACGAUCAGUAGCCGGCCUGAGAGGGUGAACGGCCACACUGGAACUGAGACACGGCCCAGACUCCUACGGGAGGCAGCAGUGGGGAACCUUCCGCAAUGGACGAAAGUCUGACGGAGCAACGCCGCGUGUAUGAUGAAGGUCUUCGGAUUGUAAAGUACUGUCUUUGGGGAAGAGAAGAGCGCUUGAGAAUAUUGAGUACAAAUGACGGUACCCAAGGAGGAAGCCCCGGCUAACUACGUGCCAGCAGCCGCGGUAAUACGUAGGGGGCAAGCGUUGUCCGGAAUUAUUGGGCGUAAAGGGCGCGUAGGCGGAUAAUUAAGUCCGGUGUGAAAGAUCAGGGCUCAACCCUGAGAGUGCAUUGGA
rnacentral:rRNA from 1 species